UACGUAGGGUGCAAGCGUUAUCCGGAAUUAUUGGGCGUAAAGAGCUCGUAGGCGGUUUGUCGCGUCUGCUGUGAAAACUGGAGGCUCAACCUCCAGCCUGCAGUGGGUACGGGCAGACUAGAGUGCGGUAGGGGAGAUUGGAAUUCCUGGUGUAGCGGUGAAAUGCGCAGAUAUCAGGAGGAACACCGGUGGCGAAGGCGGGUCUCUGGGCCGUAACUGACGCUGAGGAGCGAAAGCAUGGGGAGCGAACAGG
rnacentral:rRNA from 1 species